ACGGAAGGCAGCAGUGGGGAAUAUUGCACAAUGGGCGAAAGCCUGAUGCAGCGACGCCGCGUGAGUGAAGAAGUAUUUCGGUAUGUAAAGCUCUAUCAGCAGGGAAGAAAAAUGACGGUACCUGACUAAGAAGCACCGGCUAAAUACGUGCCAGCAGCCGCGGUAAUACGUAUGGUGCAAGCGUUAUCCGGAUUUACUGGGUGUAAAGGGAGCGCAGGCGGAUGAUUAAGUCUGAUGUGAAAUCCCGAGGCUCAACCUCGGUGCUGCAUUGGAAACUGGUUAUCUUGAGUGUCGGAGGGGUAGACGGAAUUCCUAGUGUAGCGGUGAAAUGCGUAGAUAUUAGGAGGAACACCGGUGGCGAAGGCGGUCUACUGGACGAUAACUGACGCUGAGGCUCGAAAGCGUGGGGAGCAAACAGGAUUAGAUACCCUGGUA
rnacentral:rRNA from 1 species